UGCGUAUCUGCUGUAAAUGAGUUCCCUCAACAGUUUAUCAACAUGUGUCCAGUAGGUUAGUGAUAGUGGAAUAUUUAGGGCCAGUUUUGUCCAUCACAAGUAAUUUUUUCUUGGUUAAUUGUUGCUUUAAAAUUUACACUCACGACGUCCCCACAGCACACUUUCAGUCACUCCGUGUUGGAGUUGAGAUGGUGUGUGAGAUUAGAUGAAUCUGGUCCCCAUGAGGAACAAUAACGUUGUGUGUGAAAGGUCCCCUUGAGGCCCGUUUUAUUCAAGAUGUGUGUGUGAGCGCAGACACAGGAUGAUGGACAGGGAUACAAUUUUUCUCUCUGAGCUCUGGUCAACUUUUUCAUUUUCAUAUUUCAAAUACAAUAGUAAUGUCAAAUAUUGUUUAUCCUUUCUGUUUACAGAUUGCGUCCCAGCGCCAAAAUGAAUAUGAGAUUUUUGUGCCAAAACUGAGACGGACUAAAAGUGUCAUAAUGAAAGACACAAAUCUUGAAGAUUCUGAUGAGCUCUUUGAUUCUACACCAGAGAGUUCAGAUGAUUACGUUCCAGAUACCACUUCUGAAAGUGACAGUGAUGUUAGCCUUACACUAAACCAGACAAAACGUCAGCUUCUUGAUGAACUGGAUGUUGAUCAGUCUGGCUCAGUGAGUUGCCCUGACUGUGACACCACAACGUCAGACAAAAUGCACAGCCUUAUAUCUGAAGCAUCUGGAACAGGAGAAGAACCCAGUUCAAGUCAGAACACAGCAGACGGCGUAGUUGUUAGUGCAUACCAAAAAAGAGAUGGUGCUAGAGUGUACAACAAGAGACAUUACUGCUUGUACUGCAGUAAACCAUAUGCUAAGAUGGCAAGGCAUCUAGAAAGUUCACAUGAAAAUAAGUCUGAUGUGGCUAGAGCUCUAAGCUUUCCAAAGGGGUCAAAGGAGAGAAAAAAACAGCUUGAUUAUAUUCGCAACAGAGGAAACUAUGCUCACAAUGCAGCUGUUAUGGAGUCAGGAAAGGGGGAACUAGUGCCAUUUAAACGACCACGUAAAAAAGUGCAGGGAGAAGAUUUCAUGCAUUGUGCAUACUGUCAAGGACUUUUUACAAGAAAGGUCCUGUGGAGACAUAUGCGUACUUGUAGACUUCAACCACAAUCAGACCCUCCCAAACCAGGAAAAAACCGUGUUCAGUCCAUGUGUACCUACACCGGGCCUGUGCCUUCAAACAUGACCAGACAACUGUGGGGAGUCAUCAGUGCCAUGAAUCCUGACCCAAUUACACACAUAAUAAAAAAUGACAGAGUAAUUACUGAAAUUGGGCAGCACUUGUUAAACAAAGGUGGGCUAUCAGAUAAGAAUAAACAAUGUGUGCGGGAGAAGAUGCGAGAAUUGGGAAGAUUGAUUCACAAUGCCAGGAAAGUCACCUCCUUAAAAACACUGGAAGAUUGUGUAAAUCCAAAGAAGUACAUGGAGACUGUCAAAGCUGUCAAGUAUACAUGUGGGUAUGACAGUGAAACUGACAAAUUCUUGAUUCCGUCACUUGCAAACAAGCUUGGGAAUUCCCUGGUUAAAGUAAGCAAACUCUUGAAAGCUCAGGGCUUAAUCUCCAACGACAAACAGCUUGUGAAGAAUGCCAGUGAGUUUCAAGAAGUCCAUGCGAAUAAGUGGAACGAGAUGAUCUCUGCUACAGCAUUGAGGAAUAUCAGGGAAGCAAAGUGGAAUGUGCCCACUCUCAUGCCCUUUACUGAAGACGUACAAAAACUGCAUACUUUUCUCAGUCAAGUGCAAGACGAGUGGUUCAACCUGCUCUCUGAAAGUCCAUCUACUAAAGCCUGGAUGGAGCUGGCCAAGGUGUGUCUUGCCCAGAUGAUUCUCUUUAACCGGCGGAGAGAAGGAGAGGUGGCGAGCAUGCCUUUGUCUGCAUUUUUAUCAAGAGACACUUCUGAUCCACAUGAGGAUGUGGACUGGGCUCUCUCCGAAGUGGAGAAGAAACUCUGCAGACACUUCACAAGGGUUAUCACCAGGGGAAAGCGUGGUCGGCCAGUUCCAGUUCUUCUGACUCCAAAAAUGCUGUGUUCCUUAGAACUCCUUGUUAAGCAGAGAGAGGCGUGUGGGGUUUUAAAAGACAAUGCCUAUAUGUUUGCUAGACCAGAAGCCAUGACACAUUUCCGAGGGUCAGACUGCCUCCGUGGCUUUGCAAAGGCAUGUGGUGCAAAGUGUCCCAAGGCACUGACAUCUACCAGGCUGCGAAAGCAUGCCGCGACCCUUUCAACAGUGCUGAACAUGACAGACACCGAGAUGGACCAGCUGGCAAACUUUCUUGGGCACGACAUCAGAAUCCAUCGUGAGUUCUAUCGACUCCCUGAGAAGACCCUGCAACUUGCCAAGAUCAGCAAAGUUUUAAUGGCUCUUGAGCAAGGAAGAUUAGCUGAGUUCCAUGGCAAGAACUUGGAUGAAAUUGGGAUAGAUCCUGAUGAAAAAAUUAUUGACUGUGAUGAGGAAGAACAAGUUAUUGACUGUGAUGAGGAAGAACAAGUUAUUGACUGUGAUGAGGAAGGCGGAAGCAUACAAGAGGGACACUGUUCAUCUACUGUUGACGCCGAGGUGGCACUUCCUUCUACCGAGAGGAAUAUGUCACCACCUCACAAAAGAGGCAAACCAUCAUCAGAUGUGCAGAUGCCUUCAGGAGCCAGUGCUAUGAGACCGCCUCGCAAAGGUAAAACUACCCAGAAGAAAACUCCCUGGCAGCAGGCAGAGGUGCAGGCGGUGGAAAGGCACCUGAAGCCAUUCAUCAUAUCUGCCACUGUACCAGCAAAGAGUGACUGUGAGAAAUGCUUGAAAGCUGAACCAGAAGCUCUGAGGAACCGCGAUUGGAAGA
ensembl:lncRNA